CCUACGGGAGGCAGCAGUGGGGGAUAGUGCACAAUGGGGGAAACCCUGAUGCAGCGACGCCGCGUGUAGGAAGACGGUCCUCUGGAUUGUAAACUACUGUCCCCAGGGACGAAGAUGACGGUACCUGGGGAGGAAGCUCCGGCUAACUACGUGCCAGCAGCCGCGGUAAUACGUAGGGAGGGAGCGUUGUCCGGAAUUACUGGGUGUAAAGGGAGCGUAGGCGGGGAUUCAAGUUGGGUGUUAAAUUUACCGACUCAACUGGUAGUCGCACUCAAAAGUGCAGCUCUUGAGUGAAGUAGAGGCAGGCGGAAUUCCUAGUGUAGCGGUGAAAUGCGUAGAUAUUAGGAGGAACACCAGUGGCGAAGGCGGCCUGCUGGGCUUUUACUGACGCUGAGGCUCGAAAGUGUGGGGAGCAAACAGGAUUAGAUACCCCGGUAGUC
rnacentral:rRNA from 1 species